GGGAGGCGCUCUGAGCCGAGACUGUUUGGGGGAAGAAGCUGACGUGGACUCUUGCUGCUGCUGUCUAGCUUUUCUUCCGCUAGCCCAACCUAUGGCUUCCACAGCUCAAUUUGUGUACUUGUCUACCAGGCCGCCUUCCAAAAAUGUUUCCAAAAAAACCCUGCAAAAGGAAGAAUGAAUUUAGUGAAUAGCAGUUUCUCACGUUGCUCAUCGCUUUGAGAUGCUACUCCGUGCACACUGUUUUAAAAGGAAACUCCCCAUCUUUUGACAUCAAUAGUUUCUCAUCCGGGAUUGGAAAGUAUUUGUAAGGUACCACCUUCGCCACUUAGAGACCCCCACUUCCUAUCGGGGCGUUUCUAUGCAGUCUUUGCACCACCGACUAGCCCCAAAGGGGCUUCUCUAGUACUUGCUACUCCUAGAGGACUGAAAUCCAAGCCCCCGGCAAGCAAGAUUCCAAGCUUCACAAGAAAAAGAAGGAAAAAAAAAAAAGCACCACCUCUGGAACAAUCCACUUCUCAGAGUCUCCAUUCCUGUGUGAGGGAAAUUCUUCUUAGAUACAAUCUGAGCCGUGGGAGAACUCCUUGAUUUUUAUAAUAUCAGACAGACUACCAGAUCCUGACAGUGACCCAAAGUCUCCAAAGAAGAUUAUGAGGUACCUCAGUUCCUACACCUGGACCAGUGAGUGAGAUGCUCAGAUAUGAUACCUGCCGCCUGCCAGGACCUGGCCAAGACUGUGGACAAAGCUGCUGGACACUGGAAAUUGAUUGUACCCCCUUUGCCUAGACAAAACAAGGUCAGUCUUUUCCAUGUCCCUCUUCCACAGAGAGGAAAAAAAACUCUCACGGUAUAGGCCUGGCAAAGAUUGCUGUUCUUUGAGACAGCUGCCUCCAGCGGUAAUGGAGAAACUUGGGUGUGGCUAACUGUAUAUGGACUGGCUUCUAACUGGCUUCUGUCACUUUGUAGUAGAUUCAGAUAAAAUAUACCCUUCUCAGAUCUCUGAAAUAUUACUGGUUGUCAGCUUGACAGCAUCAGGCAGUCAGAUCCACUAUAGACUAGUCAGUAUGUUAGCUGAUAAAAUAGUGACUAUCUACUGUUCAGGCACAAGCUCAAGGUUUUUAAGUUUAUUUUGGUUGUCAUCUAAGUACAAACUUAAAGGGCUUUUCAUCAGGCCAAAGGCACCUCUGUCCAAUCCAUACCUGGCUCUCUGGACAGAAGAAAAAUGUACAUGCUUAUAGCCCAAAUCUGUAGUUUUUGCUAGGACUCAAAGUUAUAAAUAUGUUGCUGCUGUUUAAACAGAUAUCCAAAUAUCUGCUUUUUCUGCACUGUGGGCUUCAGUAAAUAAGUUUUAACCUCUGUUCCUAGUUUAAACAUGUCUUAAACAGAUUUCUGCUUCUGGCAGACAUCUGAGUAUCAGUUGCUGACUACAGGCUGUUCUAAGUAGACUGUGAGCCCUGGACUUGCUGUGGAUGUGAACCAGUCCAGCUGAUAUGGACACCCCCUGUCUCUGCAACAGUGUCUGCUAACCAGAAGCUCCUGAUGGAUUCCCCAUUGCCUAAAUUCCUUUUUUGCUUUUGACUAGCAUUUCAACCUUUUGGGGUCCCUAACUUCGCCCCAAAGUCAGCAGAAAGUAGUUUGAAAAGAAUUCACCACCCAUUUUCCCUGGUUAAAAUGCUAAGUCAGGAGGGACUCCCUUGCAUGGGGAUGCCAAUAUCUAUCACUCCCUGAUGGGGGCGCUAGAGAGACAGCAAUUCCAUGAUUGGAAUUUCAAAAAAAAAGAAAAUGGGGGAAUGAAGGGACCAGCUUCCCUUUUGGCAGCCAUAAUGGCCGAACAUGUGCUUCUAUGACCUUAUCCUAGACACUAGAAAGUCAGAUGCCUGCCUCGUGACAAGAAACCAAUCAGAAGUUAGCUGGUGGCGCUAUGCUUUACGACCCUGGGUGUGCUUUACGGACAAGUGCACAGCAAUGACGCACAAAGUAUAGCAACCACCCUGGGAGGGCCUAUGGGCCAUAACAACCAGUUGACCAAUCAACACAGGACAAGCCCUCCAAGCCUGGAGGCACACCAAUCGUGAGCCUGUGGGUACCCCUAGACACUCCCCUUACGCUGUCCUAUAAGAUCUCUUGGGAGGCCCUACGAGCUGUCUUUUGCGAGCCAUCGGCCAUGGGGGAUGAUGGGUAAAAGACCAGAGCUAACAUGGAGUUAACUCGUUAAAUUACAAUAAAGCCUCGUGCAGUUUGC
ensembl:lncRNA